UGUAUGGGGAGCUUUGUGCUGGUGCUUCCUGUGCUCCCUCUGAACUUUUGUUUCCAGGAUUGUYGUGGCAGAGGCUUUGAUUGCAAUUACAGGUCAUCUGUGCUGCAGAGUGAGCAGGUAGGAUGCAGGUCACCCACUCCUUGGAACUACAGCCCACUGGAAGACUACAUCCCUGGUUUUGCCAGGAUGACUCCAAGCACUGCAAACCAGAUGCAGGGAGUGCCUUCUAGCAGCUCUACUCACUUCUCCUCAGGAGGGCUAUGCCCAGUGCAUCCGUCACAGCCUCCGAAUCGUCAGUGGAUGUGCCUAGGCCCUCAGUGCUUCGCAUUGCUCACAUCUGAAUGUGUAACUGAGCUCUGCAGCCUSCUAGGAUGAUCUUGAUCCAUGAUGUUUGCUGUCAGCAAGGUCCUCAUGGGAGCUGCUGCACAGACGUCCGUAUUUUACUUCCUUUGCAAAGAGGAUCCAAGCUGCCAGGGCAGUUCUUUAUCUUAAUAUUACCUAGUUUUGCAUUCACCUGUGUACAAUUAAAUGGCUAAUAUAUUGAGGGGAAAAAAAAUCAGCCAGGAGUAGGUAUCAGCAAUACCUAUAGGAGGUGGCUGUGUUACUUCAGCAAAAUAUUAUUGUUAUUAAAUGUUCCCACCAGAUACUUGGACAGCUUGCACUACAACUGCAAAGCUAACAUUUCAUUAUAGGAAGAUAUAUUUUCAUAAUGGAUUGCAAUUUACCAAAAUACACAGAGGGCCUCAGAUUUGUCAGUGUGCAUUUGCUCUGUAAGAAAUACAUCUCACUGAAAACCAGAUGUCAAAAUUAGCAGUAGAGCUUGUGGAACGUGGGGAGGAAAGCUGACAUUUCAGAGUUGGCAGUCCAGCUGUGUUAACGGCAUCAGGGAGCCUUUGUGUUAUUAAGUACAGUGUUUAGCAGUGGAAUUGCAUUAGGAGUUGAUUUAAAUUAUGAGUGGUGGGAAAUCAGUGCACUGUGUUGGGGGAGGAAAACUGCAAUCAGGGAUGAGAUCUGGAACCCCUUUCCCCCCUCUUUUUCUAUUUGUUUGCUCUCUCCCCGUAUGGCAGAAUUCCAAGCAGUUGUAGCAGCAGUUUCAGUUCUGCGGAAAUUGCUGGGGAUUGCCAUGAGGGAUGUGAUUUGGAGAGGGGCAGGGGAGACCGGUUUGAAAGCUCUUGUAAAUGUCUGAGUAACAGUUGUGGAAAUGUAAAUUAUUGAUUCAUAUCCUCCUGGUUUCAAAUGUGCUUUAUCUUCCUUGUAAUUUAACCUAGUUUUCAGGGUUUUUUUUUAUCUGUAGCUUUCUAGAAGUAGUGUUACCCAUGCAUUUUAUCCCAUCUCUUUCUCUUGUUCUUAGAUGUUAGCUAGUGAGUCAGUGCACUGAUUAGCUUGACUAAUUUGUUGGCAUAGAUUUCAGUCAGGGGAAAAAGGGUAUGCAUUUUAAAAAGUGAAGAUAAUUAACCAUUGAACAACAUGGGCACUGGUGGAUUCUCCAUUACUAGCAAUUGUAAUUUCAAGAGGUUCAUUUUCCUAUGAGAUGUGUCUAGUUUUUCACAGUAAUUAAUUCAGCAUAAUGGACAAUUCAGUGGACAAUGAAAUUUGAUGAUCACAGUUCUCAAACUUAGUAGUUUGCUAUCAUGCUUAAUUCUGUUUCUGCU